UACAGAGGGCCCGAGCGUUGUUCGGAAUCACUGGGCGUAAAGGGUGCGUAGGUGGCUUGGUAAGUUUGGUGUGAAAGCUCAGGGCUUAACUCUGAAAUGGCAUUGAAUACUGCUGAGCUGGAGGUUUGGAGGGGGGACUGGAAUUCUUGGUGUAGCAGUGAAAUGCGUAGAUAUCAAGAGGAACACCAGUGGCGAAGGCGAGUCCCUGGACAACACCUGACACUGAGGCACGAAAGCUAGGGGAGCAAACAGG
rnacentral:rRNA from 1 species